GAGAAAGGCGGGCGAUAUUCACCAAGCCCUCGCCUUAUGCACUUAGGCGUACACCUUGUUCCAAGUACAAAAAGGCGCGCCUUCUUUAUUUUCACUUUCGGCGAGUAAUUUCAUUGACAAAAAGCACCAUCACUCAACUCGAAAUUUGUCUACCUACCAAAAUCCAAUAUUGACGUACUAAUAAGUUUUCGAAAUUAGUAUUACUAGUGAUAACU
rnacentral:misc_RNA from 1 species